rnacentral:rRNA from 1 species
CGCGUAGGCGGCUUUUCAAGCGUGCGGUGAAAGCUCGGGGCUUAACUCCGAGUCUGCCGUGCGAACUGGGAGGCUUGAGUCUGGUAGAGGUCGAUGGAAUUCCGGGUGUAGCGGUGGAAUGCGUAGAGAUCCGGAAGAACACCGGUGGCGAAGGCGGUCGACUGGGCCAGUACUGACGCUGAGGCGCGACAGCGUGGGAGCAAACA